CAAGUACAGCUUGUGUACUUGCACAGCUUCCUGUACGGCCAAUGCCUCUUUUUUCAGAUCCAAAUGCCUCAGAACGGCUGUUCUCUCCACCUCACUGCACAGAGAAAACACCCCAGAGUAUCCUGUUCAGAGCCACUUCCUUGCCCUACAUCCCAGUGGAUGCAGCUUCUGAAAGGAAGCAGAGUCGGCAAGGAUGGAGUACUUUUGGGAAUCAUUCCCAGCAUAUGGAGACUGCAUUCUGCAGCAAGCAAGGGCAGUUCCCUCAGCAAGUGGAAAAUGGGCUUCACCUCCCUGUGGUCUCCCUGUGGUUUGCUUCCCUUGCGAUAUUAUUUUUGAACAGCAGGCAGGAGCUCUGUGCUUCUUGUUCUGUUUAGUAAAUCCAAUAACCAAACCUGGCCCACUUCUGGGUGGUCCUCCCAAAAUACCCCAAAUCCACGCCAAGGCCAUGUGAUAUAAUAAUCAUAAGAAAUACAGGGAUUGCUUUGACAGAUACCUCAAAAUCAGUUUUUCAGGAAAUGGGAUGUUUCAACCAAUGUGUCGGUUCCAUAUGGAUUUUUCUCCCCCCUAUUUCUUUUACUUAUUCAGUGCCUUUGUCCUUCAUUCCAGUAAAGCCAGAAUUACCAGCCUGGAAAGUGAAGAUCACUGGUGCAUGAUGCUUGACUUGAUCUUGGGCUGGUAGACGUUAGACUGCACAAAAUGCCUCCCAGGUUAAGGAAUUCAGAUCUGGAUUGCUGGGCAGCCCGACUGCUUUCAUGACCAAGAAUAAGAAUGAGAGAUGUAAAAAGCCAGCCAUAAAAAGCCAGCCAUGAAAACCCAAACUCAUGAUGGAUCCUGCUGAGACUCGUGUUUAACAGUUCCUUCCUGGAGUGGCUCGAGAAACAACAAGAAAAAAAAUAUUGUGAAAGUCACACCCCAUUGAAAUUGCAUCCUAAAGGGACCUGGUGAGCGCGGUAAUUACCAGGAUGACUGUGAGCACCAGGGCCACGCUUGGCUCAGAGGCUGCUGUAUGUGUUAAAAUUAAAAAGGACUUUAAGCAGAUGCAAGGAAAGUGGAAAUUAGGGACCAAAGUGUAGGCUCAAGAGCGAUUCAUCAUUCCUGAUAAGGAGCCAUUAGGCUGGACUGUGAUGGGAGCAGAACCCGGGGAAGCUGGCAAUUUUAAGCUUACAAAUGCAGAGUAAUCCCCUUGUUUUCAGAUAAUGGAAAACUGCAUUAACCUUGUGAUGUUUCCCUGGUGGCUCCAGCACAUUCCCCCCUCUUACCAGACUCUCUGCUACUUUUUUUUGUUCCCUCUGAUUUGUACAGGUUCUGAUUUCCACCCUGCAUUGGCCAAUCCCAAAAGGUUUGGUAGGCGAGAUCAGAAUCCAGCCCCAUGUUAUUUCAGCCGGAACAUGAUUUCUGGCUUGUUUUAGCCAUCAGGAUAGCCUUGACAUGCUUUGACUUGCUUGCACCAAAAAUGUAAACAGCAGCCCUAAGUAGAACAAUUAACAUUGUGUCUCUGCAGAUGUUUGUUUCUCUUGAAGGAGCUUGGAAUUUGAGUGGGGAAAAGCAGGGUAGGCAGCGAACAGAGGCUAAUGCAGUCUGGGGCAAACUUCCCAACUGGAGUUUUAUAAACAGCUCAAGCUGCUUCCCUUUCUAUCAGUGAUGUCACUGCUAACCUUAGUUUGGGCUGCAACAUUGCUAUCCAUCAUCUGCCAGCUGCUAUUCCUUCCCCACUGUACAGCAGCAGGAAUAUGUGAGGGAGACUGGAGACCUGAAGAGUUUCAUUUCCACGAGAAUGGAAGCCAAUAAGCUCCAGAUUCCCUGGAUUUUUCAUACAAAUUAUCUCACCCAAGUCUGCAGAUAAUGCUGUCCAACAGUUGUAGGUUAUAAUUUCCAAACAGGGAGAUAACCUUCAUCAUGAAGCAAAAGCAAAAAUGCCAUUAGCAGAUAGAGAGGUGAUUUAACUCAACCUAGCCAUUUGCUCACAAGUCUGAAUUUAUGUCACCAGUUGUGAUGAAAUGAGUGUUUUCUUAGAUAGAUAUGGACGACUAACACAGCGCAGAACUCAGCAAUCUUCAAAGGACUCUGAGUUUUAAAUUCCCUGGCUAAAGUCAAACAUUUGUCUUUCUUAUCACUUUCACUCAAAGGAUGUGUUUUUGCAAUAUUACAUCAGGUUCAUUUGCCAACAGAACAGGCCAAAAGGUGAUGUCCAAGAGAUGAAUGCUGCCUUCACUUACACGACAGUAACCCAUCAGCUGCACUGGAAUUACUCUGGGAUUCCAGUGAAGGACUUGACAGCAGGACCAUAACACCCUGCUAGAACAUUUCUUAUAUCACCAUUGCAAGAGCUCCAUAAAUCCAGCACUUUCCAGCUGAGACAUUUCAGAGGAGAGCUCAAAGUUGAGGUGAUCAAACAGCCAGCAAAGAGGUGACCGAACAAUGAACAGCAGUAGGACACUUGCCUUCCUUCCCCUGCCAAAAAAUCCUGUUAGGACAGAGUUAUACUAAAUGCAGAGUUAUUCUGUGUCUAAACCUAUUUUGUCUGCAAUUAUACCCCUUUGCAGCAUGAGACCUGGAGGCUUUGUGAGCAGGACAUAUUCUUUAACAGGUCACUUGCAUUUUCUCUUUCUCCUCUCAAAUGCCAGCACCUUGGCUGCUUUUGUAUCCUCCUUUAAACUGUUUCUGAGCCAAUCCUGUAGGAUUCCUUGCACUGCUGCUCUCAUCUCUCGACAGGCCAUGAAAAUCAAAGCAGAUUUCAUUUGCUUUGGAAGCAGAUGUCUUGUGAAAAAGCUUCUGUCUGUUCAGCAGCAUGGCAGAUUCAUUCCUCCAACAGUCAAAAGGCUUUAAUUUAGUGAGGUCACACAGACAGAAAUUGGCCAACUGAAUACUCACCAGAGAACCUCUGCAUAAGCCUGAUGUGAUUCUACAGGACAGAGAAGUACCUGCAGCAUCAGGUAGAAUAUUAGAGCAUCUCUCAUUACUCAGACACAGCAAGGUGGUCUCACUGCUGAACAUUGUUAUAAUUACAUACAGCAAAUGCUGCUGCAUCAGUUUGACUUUCCUGCAGCUGCCUGUGGGAAGGCAAAUGAAGAGAGCAAAGAGGGAUCGUGGGUCCAGACUGCCUCAGGUGCAGGAAGGGCUGAAAGUGAGUGACUGCUUUAUGUAAUACAUGACUGCAAAUCCUGCUCUGGUCGUUUGCCACUUUCCUACCAAGAUAAACAAAACAUGUCCCUACUCAGUUUGUGCAAUUUUCCACAAUGCCCUGAACUCUGCAGGUGACAGCCUGGGCAAGGGAACAGAGACAGCUCUGCACACACGCUGAUGGGAUUGCAAUACACGAUUGUGACAGCUGCAAACACCUUCAAAAUAAAGGCAAAAUUCCAGCUGAGUGUGAUUCCAGCUCCAGCGUUAAGAUAUGUGAAGAAUUUAUUCAACUUACUCCUGCAUCUUGUUGAACAAAGAUAAGUUGUUUUCAUGCCCAUAGUUUCUGGACAGUUGUGUCAAACCUUUGGCAAUACCUAACCAAAGAUCUGCCUAAACCCAGAUGCAUCACUGGGUAAGUUUAAAUCAUGCCAGUGUCUCCACAAAGAAGGAAACACUCUGCAUCACAAGCAGCCAGCUUUGUGGCUUGAGGGAUCAGCUGGGAAUACCUAGGCAAGGAUGACCAGAAGGUUUCUGCACAGAAGAAGCUAAAGGAGGGCACUCUAACACAGUGAAUUUAGCCAUCACUAGCACUUACCAAGUGCAUCAUUAGAAAAAAACCCCAAAGUAGCUGUAAUUCCAGUCUCUGCACUCCCUGUCUUCAAAUAGCUUCCAAAGGCAACUUGAAUUCUUCACCCUGAUGCUGGCAUGCUCGGAGUGCCAUUGGAAGCCACUGCUGGCAGUCGCUGUUAUCACAGCCCCAGCUCCCCACGCUGGCAGCAGCAGGAACGCGGCUGUAACUGGAUCUGUCCCAGCCCGGGAGAGUCUGGGCAGCCCCACUCCCAGCUCCUCUGCACAGCGGAUAUCUGCCCUGCACACUAACUAUAGACUUGAUGAAACAUUAUCAUACAUGAAGGACUAAUUAGGUGUGCUGGGCCAUUAGCCAUCUCUGAACAUUGACUGAUGAAAAACGUAAUUAAUGGCAGCUUUCAUAAACAGACUGCAGAAUGGAGAAUUGAAUUAAAAGGAAAACAGCUGUUGCUAAUGGAAAUAAGGGCCAUUUCUUGAUUAAAAUAUCUGCCUGUCUUUCCGUGGGAGUUUUUCCAGAGUGGUGGGAUGGAAGAGUGUAAUGAGAUCUGGGAGCAGAGAAUCUGCAAAGCUUCCUGCUGAAGAAAGUACAACUUCUCUGGCUGGUGAGUCACAAUGUUUUCCUUUUGCAGAUUGGAGCAGGGGAAAGAACCAUACAAUUGCCUUGUUCAUCUUGCUGCCAGUCUGAACAGCUUUAUAAACCUUGGGGAUCAACCCUGACAUGUAGGAAUCCAGCUCAGCUUUAACAUAAUGUGAUAUUUCAUUUUACAUGAACCCACAGAUAUAGGAUGGUCUAUAAUUCAAAACCUACUUACUAAGGGCCUACACAGUAGCACCAAGCUCUGAAUCCAGGAGGCAUCUCCACAAAUCCCACUUAAGCACAUCUAUUGAUUCUGACACCAAGCUGCAGCAAGAAUACACAGCUGAGAACAUCUAUCAAAGAGAGACUUCCACCCAGAGACAGCCACUAGGGACUCAACAAAAGUUUGGUGACAUGAGUGAAAGGGUCUGAAUGAUGGAAAAUGUCAGAAUCAAGAUUUUUUUUCAGGUCAUGAGACCUUUCCUUCAUGCUGUGAUGACUCUAAUUCCCUCUGACAAGAAACACUGCAGGAUAAACCUACAGUAUGGAAGAGUUAACAUCCACAUUUUCAUACAGACUGAGCAACACAGCUUCAUCUGCCUCCUGUGACAGAAAUCAUACAGCAGUGGGGUGAAAGGCUCCUUUCUGAGCUUCUGAAGCCAUUUACUUCUACAUUUACUUCAUUUAGCAUAAAAAUCUUCAUGGUGCUUCCAAGUGCCAUUGGGACAUUCAUGUCAGUGGACAUGGACUUCUCAGUUUUACCCUGUAGGUUUGAGUGUGUCCUCUUCAAGGCUCAAGGAUGCUUUAGUGUCUCUUCAUAUAAAGUGCUGAAUGAUGGGGUUGAUUCCCUGGGAGGGCACGUGCUGCAGAUGAAUUUCGGUGUUUCACUGCCGAGCUCUCUCUGUAGAUCUGCACCCCACUGUAUACUGGGGCAGGAGAGCUCUGCUCUGCUGCUCCAGCUCCAUCAGUCUUACUCUGCCUUGUUCAAAAUGAUAGAUCUUUUCCAUCAGUGAUGCCUGAGAACUAAGCCAAACCCCAAGAAAUCCCAAGCCCCACGGAGCCUGCUGACAAGGAAACACGCUCCAUCCCACCUGUGCCCUGAGGAAUGGAGGCGCAUGAAAGGCUGCGUUCAGGCCGCAUUAUCAGAUUCAAAGUGGAAACUAGAGAGAGAGAAAGGUCUGAAAGAUGAGCCAGAUGGGAAUGCCUGUUGCUUUCACCUUUGAUCCACGUGGUGCUUUGAUGUGGUAUUUCAGUCCUUCAGACGAGGUAACUUAUCCCAGUCUGCAGCUCAUGGCACCUCUGAUGGAUAUAAAUGAGGCAGCGAGCUGAGCUCCUGGGCUCUCGCUGAGGCACUGCCACUCAGAGGCAUCAUUCAGUCCCAGCUCCCUUCCCAUGCCCAUUUUUUUUCUCUGCCUGCAGAGUCUAAAAGGAAAUUCCCUCAAAUAAAUACAAAAGCACUUGAUGUUCAUCUAAUGGUAUUUCAGGGAAAGGAAGCAUGAAACCACACAAGUUAUUCAUCUCCAUAAAAUGGUUUUAUCAGGACCCAGAACACAAUUCCUUAGCCUGAGGAGGUCUGAUCUUUGUGAGAUGUAAAUGCAUGACAUUAUGUGCAGAAUGGGUGCUGCUUAAGAACCCAGAUAGAUACAGAGCAGGCAUGUGGGAAUGAUCAGCAUAAAAUAUUUCCUUUUAAUGAUGUGCACACUUCUGCUCCUUUGAGGGGGAACAGUAUGUGCAGUGAAUACUUCAGCACAUUUUUCUAGUGAUAUGGAGGUCUUGAUCUGCUGGUGAGGGCUCAGACUCAAGUGUUAUUUGUGUAGUGACACAGCUCAGCCAAAGGUUUGCCUCUCCAUUGCUCUGUGCAUGGAAAACCCUGUGUCCAGGUUUUCCCAACAGCAAAACAGAAACAAAGUCCACGUGCAUGUGCUCACCAUUUGGGCAACAACCUGACCUGGAAAAACAGGCUUCAAACUUCCUGGGGUUUGCUCCUCUCUGCAGUCAACACCAGAAAUCUGUCCCAAAGAAGAGAAAGAGAGGUAUUAGUUUAAACAAGCCCUCCUCAAUGUGCACAUGAAACAAAUCCUGGGAAGGGAAUAAAGCUGGAGCUGUUCUUACUUGCUACCUCCUGUACAGGCUUUAAUUGCACAUUAUUCAUUAAUCCUUUGCUCUUCUGAGCAAACAGAUCUGUUUCAAGACACUUGUAUUACAUAAAAAGCCAGAAACACUUCUGGAUGAGUGUGUAUGUGCACAUUCACCCAAGGGAGCGCUGCUGGUCCUCAUUUCUCUGGUCAAGUGCUGUACUAGAACUGACAGAAAUUAGCAUCUGUUGUGUGGCUUUGUUGGGCUGGUUUUGACACUGCUUUUAUAAAAUCCACAUGGGAACCCCAAGAUAAU